rfam:Picea glauca, whole genome shotgun sequence.
UCAUGUAAUGAUUCCUACAACAUUAAUGCACCAUAUCCUAUCAAAACACGAUGGUUAAGUGUGCUUGGGCUAGAGUAUUAUUGGGAUAAGUGACCUCUCGAGAAGUCCUAGUGUUUUACAUGCC